UAUCUACUCCCUCCAUCCGAAAAUACUUGUCAUCAAAAUAGAUAAAAAGGGAUGUAUCUAGAACUAAAAUACGUCUAGAUACAUCUCCUUUUAUCCAUUUUGAUGACAAGUAUUUCCGGACGGAGGGAGUAUCUA
rnacentral:pre_miRNA from 1 species